AUACGGAGGGUGCAAGCGUUGUCCGGAUUUAUUGGGUUUAAAGGGUGCGUAGGUGGUUUUUUAAGUCAGUGGUGAAAGCCUACAGCUUAACUGUAGAGGUGCCAUUGAUACUGGGGAACUUGAGUAUGGACGAGGUAGGCGGAAUUUGUGGUGUAGCGGUGAAAUGCAUAGAUACCACAAGGAACACCGAUAGCGAAGGCAGCUUACUGGGCCAUAACUGACACUGAGGCACGAGAGCGUGGGGAGCGAACAGGAUUAGAAACCCCAGUAGUCC
rnacentral:rRNA from 1 species